rnacentral:rRNA from 1 species
AAUACUCAAGCUAUGCAUCCAACGCGUUGGGAGCUCUCCCAUAUGGUCGACCUGCAGGCGGCCGCGAAUUCACUAGUGAUUAGAGUUUGAUCAUGGCUCAGAGCGAACGUUAGCGGCGGGCUUAACACAUGCAAGUCGAACGAGAAAGCGUCCUUCGGGGCGUAAGUAAAGUGGCGCACGGGUGCGUAACACGUGGGUAACCUGCCUUCUGGAGCGGGACAACAGCUCGAAAGGGCUGCUAAUACCGCAUACGUCGGUGACGGCUUCGGUUGUUACCGGGAAAGGGUGGCCUCUAUUUAUAAGCUAUCGCCAGAAGAGGGGCUCGCGUCCCAUCAGCUAGUUGGUGAGGUAACGGCUCACCAAGGCUCAGACGGGUAGCUGGUCUGAGAGGAUGAUCAGCCACACUGGGACUGAGACACGGCCCAGACUCCUACGGGAGGCAGCAGUGGGGAAUAUUGGACAAUGGGCGAAAGCCUG